rnacentral:rRNA from 1 species
AGGAAUUGACGGGGACCCGCACAAGUAGCGGAGCAUGUGGUUUAAUUCGAAGCAACGCGAAGAACCUUACCUAAGCUUGACAUCCCAAUGACAUCUCCUUAAUCGGAGAGUUCCCUUCGGGGACAUUGGUGACAGGUGGUGCAUGGUUGUCGUCAGCUCGUGUCGUGAGAUGUUGGGUUAAGUCCCGCAACGAGCGCAACCCUUGUCUUUAGUUGCCAUCAUUAAGUUGGGCACUCUAGAGAGACUGCCAGGGAUAACCUGGAGGAAGGUGGGGAUGACGUCAAAUCAUCAUGCCCCUUAUGCUUAGGGCUACACACGUGCUACAAUGGGUAGUACAGAGGGUUGC